AACUUGAUGAACCCUCUUUGCCGCAUCACUCCCCACCUUCUCCUAUAAAUAAAUUCACGGCGGAGCUUGAUAACUGAUACCCCGCAAUCAUUCACCUUCUCCCCUUUCUCUCUCAUCCUCCCUUCUCUCUACACAUCCAUUUAUCCAUUUUCUGUAGUUCUCUUUGGAUCUGAUAGACGGGGAAAAUGGUCGAAACCAGACGAAGCUCCUCUUCUUCCAAACGACCUCUCUCUUCUCCUUCCUCUCCUCUCCCUAAUGGCAAGCGCUCCAAGGCUGUGGAGGCGUUGUCAUCAACUAAUGAUACCAUAAGGGAGAAAACACAGGGUGCCGUGAAUGAAUCAGGACAAGAAUCUGCUGAUCAAGAGGUUCGAUCGGUUGAUCUGGCUGGUGCUAGUGUUUUGAAGUCAUCGGAUGCUUCUCUGCCACUAAAAUCACCGGAAAAUCAAGUGCAAGGCGAGCCUUUGGUAUCACCUAUCACUCUAGGUCAUUCAGUGAUUGAUGCGGAGAAGGUAAAGUUAAAUGGGUCGACAUUGAAUAGGGGGAAGAAGCGGCAGCUGAAAUCUAAUGUUGGGGUUGCAUGGGGAAAGCUUAUUUCCCAGUGCUCUCAAAAUCCUCACGUUGUCAUGCAUCGUCCCACAUAUUCUGUUGGUCAAGGUCGUCAAUGUGACUUGUGGAUAGGAGACCCUUCUGUUAGCAAAUCUUUAUGUAAUCUGAAGCACAUUGAGCAAGAGAAAGGAGGUUUUAUUACUCUACUUGAAAUUACUGGCAAGAAAGGUGAUGUGCAAGUCAAUGGCAAGGUCUACCCAAAAAAUUCUACUGUGCCUCUCAAUGAUGGUGAUGAGAUGGUUUUUGGCUCGUCGGGUGAUCAUGCUUAUAUAUUUGAAAAAAUCACCAACGACAACAAAUCUUGUUUGCCACGGCAAGUCAGCAUACUUGAGGCUCAUAGUGGAUCAGUCGAGGGAUUACGCAUUGAGGCAAGGUCAGGGGACCCUUCCACAGUAGCGGUGGCGUCAACCCUCGCAUCUUUGUCAAAUUUUCAGAAAGAGUCUUCCCUUCUCCCGCCGUCAUCUCAAAAUGGUAAGGAUGUGCAACAAAGUUCGGAAAUGCCAAGACUACCAGCUGCAGAUGGAGUGUCAGACAAACAUGAUUUAGAUGCUGAAAUGAAGGAUGCUUCUAAGCAUAGCAAUUUGCCUGGUGUUUCACUGUGUGAGAAGACUGGUGUUAUAUCUCCUGACACUGGAAAUGAGAACUUGAAUCUUAAUAAUGGUGCACUUGAUUCAGUCGAUGCGGAGAUAGGGAAGAUCUCUGGGGUAGCUCAGGAAUUGCGACCUCUCCUGCGAGUACUUGCCAGAUCUUCUGAGUUCGAUUUAAGUGGUAGCAUUUCCAAAAUUCUUGAAGAGCGGAGGGGAAUACGGGAAUUACUCAGAGAUCUUGACCCGCCAAUUUUGACAUCAACCAGGCGCCAAGCUUUUAAAGAUGCGUUACAACAAGGAGUACUUGAUUCAAAAAGUAUUGAGGUCUCGUUUGAAAAUUUUCCGUAUUAUUUGAGUGAAACCAUGAAGAAUGUUCUGAUUUCUUCCACUUACGUUCAUUUGAAGUGUCACAAAUUCACAAAAUAUGCACCUGAUCUCCCCACGUUGUGCCCUAGGAUUUUGUUAUCAGGUCCAGCAGGUUCAGAAAUCUAUCAGGAGACAUUGGCCAAGGCUCUUGCAAAAUACUUUGGUGUCAGGCUACUGAUAGUUGAUUCUCUUUUAUUGCCUGGUGGGUCAAUUGCCAAAGACAUUGACUCUGUGAAGGAAAGUUCAAAGCCUGAGAGAGCAAGUGUCAUUGCUAAACGUGCUGCCCAAGUGGCUGCACUACACCUUAAUAAGAAGCCAGCUUCAAGUGUUGAGGCUGAUAUAACUGGUGGUUCUACAGUAAGUUCUCAAGCUCAGCCUAAGCAGGAGGCAUCUACUGCAUCAUCCAAAAACUACACUUUCAAGAAAGGUGACAGAGUGAAGUAUGUUGGUCCGUUACAGUCAGGCUUUUCUCCCUUGCAAGCACCUUUGAGGGGUCCAACGUAUGGUUACAGGGGCAAAGUGGUUCUUGCAUUUGAAGAUAAUGAGUCCUCUAAGAUUGGGAUCAGGUUUGAUAGAUCAAUUCCAGAGGGCAAUGAUCUUGGUGGUCGCUGCGAGGAAGAUCAUGGGUUUUUUUGUGCUGCUGACUUUCUACGCCUUGAUAGCUCAAACAGUGAUGAUAUUGAUAAACUGGCCAUUGAUGAACUUUUUGAGGUUGCUUCAAAAGAAAGUAAAAUUAGUGCAUUAGUUUUAUUUGUCAAAGACAUUGAGAAGUCUAUGGUGGGAAAUCCUGAGGCCUAUGCUGCUUUCAAGAUUAAGCUUGAACAUUUACCUGAGAAUGUUAUUGUCAUAGCUUCGCAUACCCAAACAGACAGCCGAAAGGAGAAAUCACAUACUGGUGGACUACUGUUUACAAAGUUCGGAAGUAACCAGACAGCAUUGCUUGACCUUGCUUUUCCAGAUAAUUUUGGUAGGUUGCAUGAUAGAAGCAAAGAAACUCCUAAAACGAUGAAGCAGCUCACCCGUCUUUUCCCCAACAAAGUUACCAUACAACUACCUCAGGAUGAAGCAUUAUUAUCUGACUGGAAACAACAGCUGGAACGGGAUAUCGGAACUUUGAAAUCUCAGUCAAACAUUGCCAGCAUUCGCAAUGUUUUGAAUCGUAUAGGAAUUGAUUGCUCCGACCUCGAAACUUUAUGCAUAAAAGAUCAAGCAUUAACAAGUGUGGAAAAGAUAGUAGGCUGGGCCUUGGGCCAUCACUUUAUGCACAAAUCUGAAUCGCCAGUAAAAGAGGCCAAGCUGGUUAUCUCCAGUGCAAGCAUUUCUUAUGGUGUCAAUAUUUUUCAAGGGAUCCACAAUGAAACUAAGAGUCUAAAAAUAUCUCUUAAGGAUGUGGUUACUGAGAAUGACUUUGAAAAGAGACUACUUGCGGACGUAAUUCCACCUAGCGAUAUUGGUGUUACUUUUGGUGACAUUGGAGCACUGGAAAAUGUCAAGGAUACUUUGAAAGAAUUGGUGAUGCUGCCACUUCAAAGACCUGAAUUGUUUUGUAAAGGACAGCUGACCAAGCCUUGCAAGGGAAUACUGCUUUUUGGUCCCCCUGGUACUGGUAAAACAAUGCUUGCAAAAGCUGUUGCAACCGAGGCUGGUGCAAACUUUAUUAAUAUAUCAAUGUCAAGCAUUACUUCAAAGUGGUUCGGUGAAGGAGAGAAGUAUGUCAAAGCAGUCUUCUCAUUAGCUAGUAAAAUAGCGCCUAGUGUUGUUUUUGUUGACGAGGUGGAUAGCAUGCUAGGAAGACGAGAAAAUCCUGGUGAGCAUGAAGCAAUGCGGAAAAUGAAGAAUGAAUUCAUGGUGAAUUGGGAUGGCUUGCGUACAAAGGACAAGGAGCGAGUUCUUGUACUUGCUGCAACUAAUAGACCAUUCGACCUUGAUGAAGCAGUUAUUAGGAGACUUCCACGGAGGCAAGUAAUAAUCGUUCAGUGAAUCUUUUUAGCUGAUUAAUCCGCAAAUAGAAGGGCUAAAAAAAAGAGAAAAUUUAUGUUUUACUAGUUUAUGUGGAGUCAUAAUGUUUAGUGCUCUCCAUUGAUGCAGAUUGAUGGUAAACUUGCCAGAUGCUCCGAACAGGGAGAAAAUUUUGAGAGUGAUAUUGGCCAAGGAAGAGUUAACGCCAAAUGUUGAUCUGGAAGCUAUCGCAAAUAUGACUGAAGGGUAUUCCGGAAGUGAUUUAAAGAAUUUAUGUGUCACAGCUGCUCAUUGCCCAAUUAGAGAAAUAUUGGAGAAAGAGAAAAAGGAAAAAGCAUUGGCAGUUGCAGAGAGCAGGCCAGUCCCUGCAUUGCAUAGUAGUGUGGACGUUCGCCCCCUUAACAAGGAUGAUUUUAAAUAUGCACAUGAACAGGUAUGUGCUAGUGUAUCUUCAGAAUCGGCAAACAUGAACGAGUUACUCCAGUGGAAUGAAUUGUAUGGAGAAGGUGGAUCAAGGAGGAAGAAAUCUCUGAGCUACUUCAUGUAGAGACAUGUGAAAUGUAUAGUGUUGCUUUAUUUAUUUACCCAAGUUGGUAGCGACGGGUCCUGCAUGCAUGGAAAAAAUCCAUUUCAGGUUCCCUGGAGUCCAAGCCCCCCACCCCGGAAAACUGUGUAUCAUAGUUAGUUAUAGUAAUUUAUCUCCGCAAGUGCAGGUUAUGAAAUAUCUAUCCGAAGCUUGUCUUCCAAUUUUCACCUUAUUAGAUCUCCUCACCUCUGUAUAUACAAUUUGAUUUAUUUAAUAAAUAAACAUCCCCAUGUUCUUUUUUCUUUUCCA